AAAGUUAUGUAAAAUAUUAUUGUUAACCAUACUUCAUUUCAGCUUAAACUAAACUUUUCUUGUCAAAUUUCUAACAUCAAUCAAUUGGACUUGAAAAUUUCAAAAUUUUUAUAGUACAUGAAGCAAUUAUGCAGCUGACGCUUAACCUGAAUAUGUACGACGCUUUCCAAAUAGACGCAUUUCACAUGUAGGUGUUUGGUACAACCUACCGCCGCAUUUCUGAAUUUGACAGUGUCAACACAUAGAACGUGUCAUCCCCCCUCCUAAAAACGUCAAAAUUGAUGGUGAAAUUUUAACACUAGUAGAAGAAGAUCCAAGCACAAGAAAAAUUUCCUAACAGGUGAAUGUGUCACAGUAGAAAGUUUGGUCAAUGGCUCACCUAAGCAGUAUUCGCCCGUUCCAUUAAACUCUGUGCAAGGGAAGGAAUUAUACAUUUUCACAAUUUGCACUAUUGGGACAAAAAUAAUCCUCAUCAGAAAAAGAAAGUGAGUUUCCAAAGAAAAUUUAGUGUAAACGUAUGGAUGGCAGUUAUUAAAAAUAACUUAAUUGGUCCUCAUAUUUUACCGGAUAACCUGAAUGGCGAAAAUUAUGAAGCGUUUUUACGUAACAGCCUACAAGAGUUACUAGAAGAUAUCCCUUUAGCUAACAGACAACAAAUAAUCUUGCUGCACGACGGCUGGCGCACUAUCGUCUAAGAAUAAGGGAAUUCUUAGACCAAACAUUUUCAAUAAGAUAGAUUGGAAGGGGUGGGCCAAUACUGUGGCCUGCCAGAUGUCCUAACUUAACACCGUUAGAUUUUUACGUAUUGGAAGAACUAAAAGAAAUUGUAAAUGCAACAGAAGUAAAUACGUGCGAAAAACUAAUUGGAAUGAUACAAAACGGAUCUGAGAUAUUGCAAGGUUUUCUAAUAAAAUUACCAAGACAGAAAUAACAAAACGGGCUCGUGCUUAUACAAGAAAUGGAGGUAGCUAUUUUGAAAAUGAAUUAGUCAACUUACAGUACAUGAUUUGUUUUACAAGUUUUUCGAUUUAACUGUAAGCAUACUAUGUAUUUUAUUAUAAGCUGAGAAAUAAAAAUCCUUUUUUAAUGGUAA